AAGGUCAGAGAUGUGAACUCAAAGAAUCCUUAAUGCUGGGAUUCUGAGGUUUCUAAAACCUGAAGAGCCACGCUGAUAAACGAUGUGCUGAGCAGAAACAGGGACGGCUUGAAAAGGAAUUUGGGAAAAUCAAAAGAUGCCAUAAAGUCAAGGCCACAAAAGCAAAAGCCAACCAAGUCUAUGAACUUCUCAAGCCAGGAGAAAUCCAGUGUGUUGCACUUGACCUCCUGCUCAUGAUUCAGAUGGUGUUUAGAAGAGAGUCCAGGUGUGAGAACGGAAGAUGAAACACAAUCGCAAAAUGUACCUGGGGCUGAAAGAAGUAUUGAGCUGUAAAUAAACCAUUUUCGCCAGA